UCAUUUCCCAACCAACUUGCCAUCAGACA
rnacentral:piRNA from 1 species